UACGGAGGGUGCAAGCAUUAAUCGGAUUUAUUGGGCGUAAAGGGCGCGUAGGCGGGAUAAUAAGUCAGGUGUGAAAUCCCGGGGCUCAACCCCGGAACAGCAUUUGAAACUAUUAUUCUUGAGGGUAGGCGGAGAAAACGGAAUUCCACAUGUAGCGGUGAAAUGCGUAGAUAUGUGGAAGAACAUCGGUGGCGAAGGCGGUUUUCUAGCUUAUUCCUGACGCUGAGGCGCGAAAGCAAGGGGAGCAAACAGG
rnacentral:rRNA from 1 species